rnacentral:sRNA from 1 species
GUGGCAGAUCCAACCCCGGCAAUCCUUCCUUGGAUCACUCAUAUGGAAAUAACGCACAAGCUUGACAGCCCAUUUUUGACUCGUCGGCUGCUGGCUUGGCUGUUUCCCCCGACGGUUAGCGCUGGCUGUGCAGCAUGGGGGCUUGGUGAUAGGACUGUAACCAAUGCUGGCGCUUUGAUGAUAUGACGUAAGCUGCAGUAUCCUGAAACCCAACGGCAUCGUCAUUCGUUAGGCCGAGAGGACGCGGGAUGGUUACUAUUGACUUCGUUGAAAAGGCACAAAGAGGUGAAAAGUGGGCUGAAUGCCGAGAUAUGCCGAACACGCAGUAGGCUAGCCAAGACUUUGGGUCUGGCGUUCCCCGGUAUCCUCAACUGAAAUUUAGUCCAAGCACAGGGGGGCCAGCAGAUAUCGCCCCUAGUCAGAGCGACGCAUUAUUGACACACUGAAAACGGCUUGGUCCGGGGUGGACUCAAAUUGGAAAACCCAAAGUGGUGAGCCUACCUCACCAGGAGACACGCUUAGUCCUGGGCGGAAUUCCGUGUGGUCGAGGCGUGGCGCCCAGCAAUUUGGCAGU